GCACCCGUAGCUCAACGGAUAGAGCGUCUGACUUCGAAUCAGCAGGCUGGGGGUUCGAAUCCCUCCGGGUGCG
rnacentral:tRNA from 1 species